rnacentral:rRNA from 1 species
GUCAGCAGCCGCGGUAACACCGGCGGCCCGAGUGGUGAUCGUGAUUAUUGGGUCUAAAGGGUCCGUAGCCGGUUUGGUCAGUCCUCCGGGAAAUCCGAUAGCUCAACUAUUAGGCUUUCGGGGGAUACUGCCAGACUUGGAACCGGGAGAGGUAAGAGGUACUACAGGGGUAGGAGUGAAAUCUUGUAAUCCCUGUGGGACCACCUGUGGCGAAGGCGUCUUACCAGAACGGGUUCGACGGUGAGGGACGAAAGCUGGGGGCACGAACCGGAUUAGAUACCCGGGUAGUCCCAGCCGUAAACGAUGCUCGCUAGGUGUCAGGCAUGGCGCGACCGUGUCUGGUGCCGCAGGGAAGCCGUGAAGCGAGCCACCUGGGAAGUACGGCCGCAAGGCUGAAACUUAAAGGAAUUGGCGGGGGAACACAACAACGGGUGGAGCCUGCGGUUUAAUUGGACUCAACGCCGGACAACUCACCGGGGGCGACAGCAAUAUGUAGGCCAAGCUGAAGACUUUGCCUGAAUCGCUGAGAGGAGGUGCAUGG